GGAAGUAAAAAGUCGUAACAAGGUCUCCGUUGGUGAACCAGCGGAGGGAUCAUUACCGAGUUUUCAACUCCCUAACCCUUCUGUGAACCUACCUAUCGUUGCUUCGGCGGACUCGCCCCAGCCCGGACGCGGACUGGACCAGCGGCCCGCCGGGGACCUCAAACUCUUGUAUUCCAGCAUCUUCUGAAUACGCCGCAAGGCAAAACAAAUGAAUCAAAACUUUCAACAACGGAUCUCUUGGCUCUGGCAUCGAUGAAGAACGCAGCGAAACGCGAUAAGUAAUGUGAAUUGCAGAAUCCAGUGAAUCAUCGAAUCUUUGAACGCACAUUGCGCCCGCCAGCAUUCUGGCGGGCAUGCCUGUUCGAGCGUCAUUUCAACCCUCGACCUCCCCUUGGGGGGGUCGGCGUUGGGGACCGGCAGCACACCGCCGGCCCUGAAAUGGAGUGGCGGCCCGUCCGCGGCGACCUCUGCGCAGUAAUACAGCUCGCACCGGAACCCCGACGCGGCCACGCCGUAAAACACCCAACUUCUGAACGUUGACCUCGAAUCAGGUAGGACUACCCGCUGAACUUAAGCAUAUCAAUAAGCGGAGGAA
rnacentral:rRNA from 1 species